GGGCGAAAGCCUGAUGCAGCGACGCCGCGUGAGGGAUGGAGGCCUUCGGGUUGUAAACCUCUUUCGCUCAUGGUCAAGCCGCAACAAUGGUUGUGGUGAGGGUAGUGGGUAAAGAAGCACCGGCUAACUACGUGCCAGCAGCCGCGGUAAUACGUAGGGUGCGAGCGUUGUCCGGAAUUAUUGGGCGUAAAGGGCUUGUAGGCGGUUUGUCGCGUCUGCCGUGAAAUCCUCUGGCUUAACUGGGGGCGUGCGGUGGGUACGGGCAGGCUUGAGUGCGGUAGGGGAGACUGGAACUCCUGGUGUAGCGGUGGAAUGCGCAGAUAUCAGGAAGAACACC
rnacentral:rRNA from 1 species